rnacentral:rRNA from 1 species
GGGCCCGCACAAGCGGAGGAACAUGUGGUUUAAUUCGAUGAUACGCGAGGAACCUUACCCGGGCUCGAACGACAGGGGAAUAUGGGGGAAACUUCAUAGCCAGCAAUGGUCGCUGUCGAGGUGCUGCAUGGUUGUCGUCAGCUCGUGCCGUGAGGUGUCGGCUUAAGUGCCAUAACGAGCGCAACCCUUAUCUUUAGUUGCCAGCGGGUCAUGCCGGGGACUCUAGAGAAACUGCCAGCGUAAGCUGUGAGGAAGGUGGGGAUGACGUCAAAUCAGCACGGCCCUUACGUCCGGGGCGACACACGUGUUACAAUGGCCGGUACAGAGGGCAGCUACCCAGUGAUGGGAUGCGAAUCUCGAAAGCCGGUCUCAGUUCGGAUCGAAGUCUGCAACUCGACUUCGUGAAGCUGGAUUCGCUAGUAAUCGCGCAUCAGCCAUGGCGCGGUGAAUACGUUCCCGGGCCUU